rnacentral:ncRNA from 1 species
CCGGCGGAUGUUGCUUAUAGGACGCCGCCGGCACCUUAUGAGCAAUCAAAGUCUACGGGUUCCGGGGGGAGUAUGGUCGCGCGGCUGAAACUUAAAGGAAUUGACGGAAGGGCACCACCAGGCGUGGAGCCUGCGGCUUAAUUUGACUCAACACGGGGAAACUUACCAGGUCCAGACAUAGCAAGGAUUGACAGACUGAGAGCUCUUUCUUGAUUCUAUGGGUGGCAGUGCAUGGCCGUUCUUAGUUGGUGG